rnacentral:misc_RNA from 1 species
UUUCCGUAGGUGAACCUGCGGAAGGAUCAUUAUUGUAUAAACGGGGUGCGAGGGCUGUCGCUGACCCGAAAGGUCGUGCACGCCCGAGUGCCCUCACACACAUCCAUCUCACCCCUAUGUGCACCACCGCGUGGGUCCCCCUUUGGCUUGUUCGGAGGGGGGCUUACGUUUUCACACGAACUUUGUAUGCAGUGUAGAAUGUAUUUUUUGUUUUUGCGAUCACGCAAUCAAUACAACUUUCAACAACGGAUCUCUUGGCUCUC